GCCCACUGCUGGAAGGUCUUGUAGACUUGGAUGCUGCUUUAUGCCUUUGCACCGCUAUCAAGGCUAAACUUCUCAACAUCAAUCUUAUUAUACCCAUUGCUCUUGAGCUCCUUGUUGACUGUGGCAAGACCCCACCUGAAGGGUUCAAGUGUCCUUCCUAAUUAAUUAGGUUGUGCUGCAACUCACAGAGUAUACAUGUGUGGGCUUGAAAGCAUAAUUAAAGAAUAACUGCACGAGGGAUCUUCAAAUGGCUAGAAUGAAGCAUUUUUAUAUAGGAUAUCUUGUGUUUUGUUCUCCUAGAGAAUUUUCUUCUGUUCUUCUUUCCCUUUUAUAGAGAAUAUAUUGCGUGUUAAUUUGUUUUACUUCUUGUUUACCUAUUAUGGCUAUACUUUGUCAAGGGCCAGGGGUUGAUGUUCUUCGUGUACCCACUACUUGAAAUUAAUAUUAUAAAAAUUUGUUUCCAUGUUA